UACGGGGGGGGCAAGCGUUGUUCGGAAUUACUGGGCGUAAAGGGUUCGUAGGUGGCUGGCUAAGCCAGACGUGAAAUCCCUCAGCUUAACUGGGGAACUGCGUCUGGGACUGGUCGGCUUGAGUGCAGGAGAGGAACGCGGAAUUCCAGGUGUAGCGGUGAAAUGCGUAGAUAUCUGGAGGAACACCGGUGGCGAAGGCGGCAUCCUGGACCGGCAUUGACGCUGAGGCGCGAAAGCCAGGGGAGCAAACGGG
rnacentral:rRNA from 1 species